UACGUAGGGUGCGAGCGUUAAUCGGAAUUACUGGGCGUAAAGCGUGCGUAGGCGGUUGGCAAAGUCAGCUGUGAAAGCCCCGGGCUCAACCUGGGAAUGGCGGUUGAAACUAGUCGACUCGAAUCUGGCAGAGGGGGGUGGAAUUCCACGUGUAGCAGUGAAAUGCGUAGAGAUGUGGAGGAACACCGAUGGCGAAGGCAGCCCCCUGGGAUGUGACUGACGCCUCGAUGUACGAAAGCGUGGGGAGCAAACAGG
rnacentral:rRNA from 1 species